GGUGAACGCUGGCGGCGUGCUUAAGACAUGCAAGUCGAACGGCAGUCUUCGGACUGUAGUGGCGCACGGGUGAGUAACGCGUAACUGACCUACCCCAAAGUCGCGGAUAACGAUUCGAAAGAAUCGCUAAUACGUGAUUUGCUGUCAGAUUGUGUUCUGCCAGUAAAGAUUGAUUGCUUUGGGAUGGGGUUGCGUUCCAUCAGCUAGUUGGUGGGGUAAAGGCCCACCAAGGCGACGACGGAUAGCCGGCCUGAGAGGGUGGCCGGCCACAGGGGCACUGAGACACGGGUCCCACUCCUACGGGAGGCAGCAGUUAGGAAUCUUCCACAAUGGGCGAAAGCCUGAUGGAGCGACGCCGCGUGAAGGAUGAAGAUCUUCGGAUCGUAAACCUCUGAAUCAGGGACGAAAGACACUUCGGUGGGAUGGCGGUACCUGAGUAAUAGCACCGGCUAACUCCGUGCCAGCCGCCGCCGUAACAC
rnacentral:rRNA from 1 species